UGCCUGUUUGAGAUUAGAAAAAAUGGGAGGAAAGAAUUGAGUUCUACUCUAGGGAGAUACUUAUCUCUACACUGGAGAGAGUAUAAUGGUGCUAUGACUGAGAAAAAUAUGAAUUAGCUCAAUUUCGUGAUAAUUUUGGCAGUGUAGUUUUAAUAGUUUUGGUAUGAGAAGUAUUGCAACCAAGGUAUUUACUAUAAUGUCAAGUCGCACCAUAACUUUUUUCCGGGACUGUUACAUAAAAGAAUGAUCUGUGAGCAAUGGCCCGCAAUAGUUUCUUGACGGGCUACUUGCAGAUGAAUGUUGCAAGUAUUUUUAUUUAUAUCCUUUUCUAAAUUACCUGCUGCAUUUUAAGAGAGAGUGGCUUAAGUAUGAUGCUCUUCAACAGUAAGAAGGUGCCCUCUGUAUUCUAUUACAUUUGUUAAUGGGAACAUGUGGCCUGGCAAUGAAGUUGCAGCCAUAUUUAGUAUAUGUAACUUUCAUAUUAUUUUCCAAGCAGAAAAUAAGUUUACCGCCAAUACAUAUGUUGUCGAUUCAUGGUUGCUCAUUUAAUGCACCUUCCUGGUUGGUCUUAGAAGUGGAAACGGAACAAAGCCUACCAAUAUUGUCAAGAAUUUUGGGCUUACACAUCUUAGUGCCGGAAAUAUGUUACUGUUGGAAAUUGAGUGAGACCUGCCACCUGAUGUGCAGAUGCAAUGAAUCUGCUUGCAGCGCAGCUUUAGCCCCAGUUCAGCAACAUCCUGGUCUCCGGCGAAGUGUUCCUGAUCUUGAUCUCUCAUGUGUAUGACUGUACUUGCUUGGCUUUAUUUCUUCAGUUCCAACUAAUUGAUCUGUCUUCUUUGUAGUUGUUCAGAGUAGUUGGCAUGGGAGACGGCAACGACUGGCGCGGGCUCUGCUCAAAGGCUCGCCGGAGACAACCAACAUCUCCACAGUCUACUUGACGUGACCGUCGUCAAACACUGCAAUGCCGAGCACACUACUUGGUGUGGCCGACGUCCCAGCUAGACGAGUAUAGAUGAGAUGCCUUCCCUCCUUUGCUUCAGAAUUCGGUGUUCCUGAUUUCUUGCAUUUGUACUUGAAAUUGCACUAUUUCGUCGUUGUCUUCACGGAGGAUAGGGUUUGUGAGAUAUCGAGACUGAGGAGAGUCGGGUAUAGGAAGGGAGAGGGAGAACAUGUCAUGACCUGCAAGUUUGGUGUCUUCUACUUUUGCUUAAGAGGGUUUCCUAUCGUCCGUUGUUCAGA